rnacentral:rRNA from 1 species
UGGAGUGAUUUGUCUGGUUAAUUCCGUUAACGAACGAGACCUUAACCUACUAAAUAGUUACAUAAUUUCCGAAUUAUGGACAACUUCUUAGAGGGACUGUUGGUGCUAAGCCAACGGAAGUUUGAGGCAAUAACAGGUCUGUGAUGCCCUUAGACGUUCUGGGCCGCACGCGCGCUACACUGACGAAGUCAACGAGCUUUCCUGGACCGAAAGGUUUGGGUAAUCUUUUGAAAUUUCGUCGUGCUGGGGAUAGAUCCUUGCAAUUUUUGAUCUUCAACGAGGAAUUCCUAGUAAGCGCAAGUCAUCAACUUGCGUUGAUUACGUCCCUGCCCUUUGUACACACCGCCCGUCGCUACUACCGAUUGAAUGGUCUAGUGAGGCCUCCGGAUUGCACUCUGUGCGAAAUGUUGGACAAACUAUAUCAUUUAGAGGAAGUAAAAGUCGUAACAAGGUUUCCGUAG